GCAGGAGUAGCAAUACUUGCUGGCGACCGGCAAACGGCUGCGGAACACGUACGCAAUCUACCUUCAACUGGGGCAUAGCCCGAAGAAAUUCGGAUUAACACCCCAUAACAUAACUAACAGGCAUCUGUUUGGUUAUUAAAACUGAGGUGGUUGGAGAUGAGCGUGCGUCCCAUUAGAUAGUUGGUAGGGUAACGGCCUACCAAGUCGACGAUGGGUAGCUGAUGUGAGAGCAUGAUCAGCCACACGGGCACUGAGACACGGGCCCGACUCCUACGGGAGGCAGCAGUGAGGAAUAUUGGUCAAUGGACGCAAGUCUGAACCAGCCAUGCCGCGUGCAGGAUGAAGGCCUUCUGGGUUGUAAACUGCUUUUAUCAGGGAAGAAACCACAGAUUUCUAUUUGUGCCGACGGUACCUGAGGAAUAAGCACCGGCUAACUCCGUGCCAGCAGCCGCGGUAAUACGGAGGGUGCAAGCGUCAUCCGGGAUUCACUGGGUUUAAAGGGUGUGUAGGCGGGCUUGUAAGUCCGAGGUGAAAUCUCCGACCCAACUUGAAAAACUGCCUU
rnacentral:rRNA from 1 species